AAGCAGCAUAUCCACAGGGACCUAUAGACAGCCAGCAUUGCCAAAUGAUACGCAGCAUUCCCCUUUCUCUCUAAGUGUAAAACAUUUACAAGUAAAUUUACAAAUGCAUUAAGAACAUUUCCUCAGUUGACUGUUAGUGUUUAUUUCUUCCCCUUCUCCUCCCGGGAGCAGACACCUUCCAGCCCCUCAACUUUCACACACUGCUCUCCCGUUAUUUGCCUCCUUCCCUCCCUGUCGCCCCUUUCCCUCCUCUCCCUCCUCCUCCUCCUCCUCCUCCUUCUUUUCCAGUUCAGCGGCGCAAAUUUCUGUUUGUGCCAGUGGGGCGGCCUGGCGAGACCGCAAUUGCUCUACCCCACAGAUUGACGAGCCCUCAGAUGCCGAUUUACUGUACAUGGCAGCCACGCUGGAGCCGCGGCACAUCUGGAGUGGAUUCACAGGCCAUGCUCAACAUUUCGGCCUUCUGGUGGGUAAAAUUCCAGAUUCCAGUAGGAAAGGGCCAAAAUUCCUCAUGAAACAUCUUGCCCAGGUCUCAGCCUUCUCACAGAGGAAGCAGUGAACAUUACCUCCUUAUGGCUGCUUAGGAACCGCUCGAGGUGAAACCCCGAGAGGAGGGGACUCUGCGUGGGAGAGGUGUCGGUCAGCAUGGAAAGACUGAAUCGCACAUCUCCAAAGUCUGUAAUGACCUUCCUGUGCCUGAAGUCAAGAGCAGCAUCAUGGGUCCAGGGAGAAAUGCAGGGAUGGCACACCAUUUUGCAUAACCUGGGCGAUUACUGGAGAUGGAUAAAAUGGAAAUGGUUUCUUUGCAGUGAAAUGAUUUAUUUGGAAAAAACUCCACAUGUCUACAUGGAAAGGCUGAUGGAACCAGUCUCAAAAGCAAAGCUGUUUGGCAAACUUCAAGAAAGAUCUUGGCAGUUGGCUGAAAUCUAAAGUUUUUCAGGGACAGUUGGAUUUUAGCUGAGUUCUUCUGGAAGCCUGGAGGGCUCUGGCUGGCAGACCAUUGCUCAACCUUUUGACUGCCAGGGUAGAGGAUUGAUGGCCUAUCAUUGCAGGAUGGCCCACUAAGUAGUCUACCUUUGAACUAAAGACCUCAGGCCUUCCAGGUUUCAAAACUGAGACAACACUUGUUUUGAAACUUUCUUGAUGUGUUUUGGUAUUUAUUGGAAAUAUUUUUAUGAAUUACCAGAUCCUGACCCCAAAAAGUGUUCCAUUGGAGUUUUUUUUGAGCAUCUCUGUUCUAGUCUAAGUUUAAUGACCCUGAGGGAGAAAAAAUAAUAAGUUCCUCCACAAAGGAGAAAUAAAACAAAAUCCAGUGAA